UACGGAGGGAGCUAGCGUUGUUCGGAAUUACUGGGCGUAAAGCGCGCGUAGGCGGCUUUGUAAGUUAGAGGUGAAAGCCCGGGGCUCAACCCCGGAAUUGCCUUUAAGACUGCAUCGCUUGAAUCCGGGAGAGGUGAGUGGAAUUCCGAGUGUAGGGGUGAAAUUCGUAGAUAUUCGGAAGAACACCAGUGGCGAAGGCGGCUCACUGGACCGGCAUUGACGCUGAGGUGCGAAAGCGUGGGGAGCAAACAGG
rnacentral:rRNA from 1 species